rnacentral:rRNA from 1 species
CCUACGGGUGGCAGCAGUGGGGAAUAUUGGACAAUGGGCGAAAGCCUGAUCCAGCCAUGCCGCGUGUGUGAAGAAGGCCUUCGGGUUGUAAAGCACUUUCAGUGGGGAAGAAAGCCUUGGGGCUAAUACCCUCGAGGAAGGACAUCACCCACAGAAGAAGCACCGGCUAACUCCGUGCCAGCAGCCGCGGUGAAUACGGAGGGUGCGAGCGUUAAUCGGAAUUACUGGGCGUAAAGCGCGCGUAGGCGGUCUGAUAAGCCGGUUGUGAAAGCCCCGGGCUCAACCUGGGAACGGCAUCCGGAACUGUCAGGCUAGAGUGCAGGAGAGGAAGGUAGAAUUCCCGGUGUAGCGGUGAAAUGCGUAGAGAUCGGGAGGAAUACCAGUGGCGAAGGCGGCCUUCUGGACUGACACUGACGCUGAGGUGCGAAAGCGUGGGUAGCAAACAGGAUUAGAUACCCUGGUAGUC